UUCAUUUAAUAUUUUUUCACUUGAAUCUUUCUAUUGCGUUUUACACGUUACACUUGAAUUGUGAAUCUUAUUUAUUCUAUUCUUGAACUCUAAUCGAUUUUUUGGAUAUCAUGUUGACAGUUUGGACAUUUUUGGACUCUGAAUAAAUUAAAUUAUAAAUAUCUAAUGUUUAUUCUUAAUCUUAUUAUUUCUAUUCAUUUUGUAUAUCAUUGUCAUAAUCCUCAGACUUAAAUUAUGGUGAAAAGUUAUUUUUGACCCGUAAUACAAAGAUGGACUGUUGAUUAAUAUGAUUAUGACUAUAAAUUAUGUAUUGAUAUAAUCAUGACCUUUGGUGUUACAGAUAAAGGCUUGUGGUGAGAAUUCUCUUUGGCCCGUAGUACAAAGAUGAAUUAUUGUUUGGCAUGAUCAUGACCACCGGUGAUACAAAUGAAUAUUUCUUUGGCCAGUAGUGCAAAGAUAACCAGUUGAUUUACAUAAUUAUGAACAUGAACUGUUGAUUGGUGUUACAUGGUUAAAAAAUUGAUGAUACUUUUAAAUCGUAAAAGAUAGUAGACAUCAUGCUCUACUUGAUUAUUCUAAUAGAUUAAGCUUGUUCCAUUGCAAUUAUCGUUGAAAACAUAUAUUUUCUUUAAACCUCUGAUUUAUCAAUGUUGAAGGCUAGAUAAUAUAUUCUUCAUUAUCUUAGUCAUAAUAUUAUUUACUGGGGUAUUUGAGUUCACAACUUUCCUUUUUUGUUCCAUUGUUAUUCUCAGAAAAUGAGUGUGGUUAGGACUAGCCGGGGAAAGGAGUGAGGUCCGAGUUAGUUAAUAUAGUAGUCUUCACGAUGUUGUAAAAUAAUAUAGCAAUAAUUUUACUGAGUACUUAAAACAUGUAUUGUUAUAUUUUUAUACGAUAUUGUAAUAAUUUGGGUUUGAAUGCGGUACAAUAUUUGUAUUAAAACUCACAGUAUGUGUGUUGUUGUAUUUUGCACGACAGUUUAAUAGUUGUAAAUAGGAAAGUUUGCAUUUGAAUUUUGAAGUAUGUUUUUGACGACUCAAAAUGGGUUGUGUGGAUAUAUUUUGGGGGCGUCACAACUCUAAUAAUCACCGUGUUGUAAAAUAGUAUGACAAUAAUUAUAGUGAAAACUUAGUGUGUG
rnacentral:lncRNA from 1 species